CUCACAGUUUGGUUAGAUUAUGUGACUAGGUCUGGCCAAUGGUCUGGCACUUCUACUUCCACUUCUAAUUUGUGUCACUUCCUGCUUAAGGCAAUAAACAGCCAAUAUAUCCCCCUUUCUCUUCUUUUCCAUCAGAGAUCACAGAGGCAUGGGUUAAGACAGCAGAGUCACAAGCUGGAAGAAGAAUGGAUCUUGAACCACCACAUGGAUGAGAUCCGCUCUGGAGAUCAUGCAACCUGUAUCAGGACUAAUGUGAAUCAGUGGAAUAUUCCAGGCACUGGAAGGUAUGUGCGAAGACCCAGAGGCAUGAGGUAAGUACAUGUGUUAAUGACUCACUGGGGUCAAAAUGUAGGAUAUGGGGUGGGGGAUAGGAGACAA
rnacentral:lncRNA from 12 species